rnacentral:misc_RNA from 1 species
ACCAAAAAAAAAAAAAAAAAACCAAUGCUGGCGUGGUAGUUGAACCUGACUCUCCAGGUGUUAGAUACCGUGAAAAUCUAACUCCGACCAUUCUCGGAUGGAGCCUCAAUACAAUCAAACAUAACAAGAAAUCACUCAAGUCUGCAAGAAUAUCGAUUGAAACAGGAUACAGAGCCUUCAGGUUCAGCAUGAAAUAAUCCGCCUCCUUUUCAUUGUGUGCAUAUGUAUAUAUAAAACUCCAUUUGGAAGCAAUCUGCAAGUCUGCAGCUUAACCAAAGAUUUGCAAUGCAAGGCCUCUCAUAUCAUCUCCAGGUCCAAUUCCACACAGAACUUGAAAUCAACUAUACUAAUUGAUGCACAAAAAUUGCCAGGUGAUUAUAUGUUACCAAUCUAAAAGUUUGGCACGUUUCUGGAUUCAAAAUUCAUCCGUUAUAACCAAUAAAGUGGCAUUAUCUGUUCUAUCAACUUGGACCAGUAGCCAUGGUCUUCUACCGGCCGAAAACCAAGGCUUGACUUGGACAAAUAAAAUAACCCAUGGAUUCUUAAAACUACAACAUAUAUGGAAGUAAACAGAUACACAUAUUGGGCCAGCAUAAACGACACAUGCACACUUGAAAAUAACAAUUUAAUUGUAAAGGUCAUCAUCAUCAGCCCCGCCAGCAGAAGCUACAAAAGGAUCAGUUCCAGUAGCUGCACCACUAGCUUCAGAAAACCUGAAUUCAGUUCCAAAGCCUCUUGAUUGUUGCAAAGUUUGAGCAAAUGCCUGGUAUUUGCGAAUAUCAGCAUCGCUCACACUCCUACGGGCAUACUUCAUUGACUCCUCAAAAUGUGCUGCCUUGAUCUC